GGCUCAGGAUGAACGCUAGCUACAGGCUUUAACACAUGCAAGUCGAGGGGCAGCGGGAUUGAAGCUUGCUUCAAUUGCCGGCGACCGGCGCACGGGUGAGUAACGCGUAUCCAACCUUCCGUACACUCAGGGAUAGCCUUUCGAAAGAAAGAUUAAUACCUGAUGGUAUCUUAAGCACACAUGUAAUUAAGAUUAAAGAUUUAUCGGUGAUGGAUGGGGAUGCGUCUGAUUAGCUUGUUGGCGGGGUAACGGCCCACCAAGGCGACGAUCAGUAGGGGUUCUGAGAGGAAGGUCCCCCACAUUGGAACUGAGACACGGUCCAAACUCCUACGGGAGGCAGCAGUGAGGAAUAUUGGUCAAUGGACGAGAGUCUGAACCAGCCAAGUAGCGUGCAGGAUGACGGCCCUAUGGGUUGUAAACUGCUUUUAUAAGGGAAUAAAGUGAGUCUCGUGAGACUUUUUGCAUGUACCUUAUGAAUAAGGACCGGCUAAUUCCGUG
rnacentral:rRNA from 1 species